UACGAAGGGAGCUAGCGUUGUUCGGAAUCACUGGGCGUAAAGCGCACGUAGGCGGAUUUGUUAGUCAGGGGUGAAAUCCCGGGGGCUCAACCUCGGAACUGCCUUUGAUACUGCAAAUCUCGAGUCCGGAAGAGGUGGGUGGAAUUCCUAGUGUAGAGGUGAAAUUCGUAGAUAUUAGGAAGAACACCGGUGGCGAAGGCGGCCCACUGGUCCGGUACUGACGCUGAGGUGCGAAAGCGUGGGGAGCGAACAGG
rnacentral:rRNA from 1 species